GGGGCUAUGGCUCAGUGAAAGAGCCUCUGCCUCGCAUGCAGAAGGUCCCGGGUUCAAUCCCCGGCAUCUCCA